GGGGGCGUGGCCUAGCAAGGUAGGGCGUCGGGCUCCAGACCCGAAAGCCGUGGGUUCAAGUCCCACCGCCCCCA
rnacentral:tRNA from 1 species